GAUGAACGCUGGCGGCGUGCCUAAUACAUGCAAGUCGAGCGAACGGACGAGAAGCUUGCUUCUCUGAUGUUAGCGGCGGACGGGUGAGUAACACGUGGAUAACCUACCUAUAAGACUGGGAUAACUUCUGGAAACCGUAGCUAAUACCGGAUAAUAUUUUGAACCGCAUGGUUCAAAAGUGAAAGACGGUCUUGCUGUCACUUAUAGAUGGAUCCGCGCUGCAUUAGCUAGUUGGUAAGGUAACGGCUUACCAAGGCAACGAUGCAUAGCCGACCUGAGAGGGUGAUCGGCCACACUGGAACUGAGACACGGUCCAGACUCCGACGGGAGGCAGCAGUAGGGAAUCUUCCGCAAUGGGCGAAAGCCUGACGGAGCAACGCCGCGUGAGUGAUGAAGGUCUUCGGAUCGUAAAGCUCUGUUAUUAGGGAAGAACAUAUGUGUAAGUAACUGUGCACAUCUUGACGGUACCUAAUCAGAAAGCCACGGCUAACUACGUG
rnacentral:rRNA from 1 species